AUUGAACGCUGGCGGCAUGCCUUACACAUGCAAGUCGAACGGCAGCACGGGAGCAAUCCUGGUGGCGAGUGGCGAACGGGUGAGUAAUGCAUCGGAACGUACCCGGAAGUGGGGGAUAACGUAGCGAAAGUUACGCUAAUACCGCAUAUUCUGUGAGUAGGAAAGCGGGGGAUCUUCGGACCCCGUGCUUUCGGAGCGGCCGAUGUCGGAUUAGCUGGUUGGUGGGGUAAAGGCCUACCAAGGCGACGAUCCGUAGCAGUUCUGAGAGGAUGAUCUGCCACACUGGGACUGAGACACGGCCCAGACUCCUACGGGAGGCAGCAGUGGGGAAUUUUGGACAACGGGCGCAAGCCUGAUCCAGCCAUGCCGCGUGAGUGAAGAAGGCCUUCGGGUUGUAAAGCUCUUUUGUCAGGGAAGAAAUGGUGUGGGCUAAUACCCUGAAUCGAUGACGGUACCUGAAGAAUAAGCACCGGCUAACUACGUGCCAGCCGCCGCUGUAAAAC
rnacentral:rRNA from 1 species